rnacentral:sRNA from 1 species
AAGAGACCUUUAAGACAGCUGGUCAUUAUGCCGACCGGGUGUCCGCGCUAAGUUUGGUAUCAAUAUGGUGACCUCCUGGGACCAGGAGGCCAUCAGGUUGCCUAAGGAUGGGAGAACUGGCCCAGGUCAGAAAGGGACCAGGUCAGGUCUCCCGCACCAAUCGGUAGUGGGACUGUGCCUGGGCAGUAUAGCAAGAUCUUGGUUCUU